rnacentral:rRNA from 1 species
AUACGUAGGUGGCAAGCGUUGUCCGGAUUUACUGGGUGUAAAGGGCGCGUAGGCGGGAUGGCAAGUCAGAUGUGAAAUCUCCGGGCUCAACCCGGAAACUGCAUUUGAAACUGUCGUUCUUGAGUAUCGGAGAGGCAAGCGGAAUUCCUAGUGUAGCGGUGAAAUGCGUAGAUAUUAGGAGGAACACCAGUGGCGAAGGCGGCUUGCGGGACGAAAACUGACGCUGAGGCGCGAAAGGGUGGGGAGCAAACAGGAUUAGUUACCCUGGUAGUCCACGCCGUAAACGAUGAACACUAGGUGUGGGGGGACUGACCCCCUCCGUGCCGCAGGUAACACAAUAAGUAUUCCACCUGGGGAGUACGGCCGCAAGGUUGAAACUCAAAUGAAUUGGCGGGG